rnacentral:rRNA from 1 species
CAGCUCGUGUCGUGAGAUGUUGGGUUAAGUCCCGCAACGAGCGCAACCCUUGUCCUUAGUUGCACCAUUCAGUUGGGCACUCUAAGGAGACUGCCGGUGUUAAACCGGAGGAAGGUGGGGAUGACGUCAAGUCCUCAUGGCCCUUAUAUCCAGGGCUACACACGUGCUACAAUGGCCGGUACAAAGGGUCGCAAUACCGCGAGGUGGAGCUAAUCCCAAAAAGCCGGUCUCAGUUCGGAUUGGAGUCUGCAACUCGACUCCAUGAAGUCGGAAUCGCUAGUAAUCGCGUAUCAGCGUGACGCGGUGAAUACGUUCCCGGGCCUU